UAUUAAACUUAUAACUUUAUGGGAGUGGGACAGAAAUGAUAAAGAGCCACUAAUGAUUUAUUAUGUAGUGGUUCUUAAACAUUAGCCACAGCUAAUGUGUACUUAAAAAUAGGAAUACAUGAGUAAAACUCAUGCAUAAGAAAUACUAAUUUCUAUAGAAAAAGUAUUACUUUAUCGUUGUCCCACCCCAACUUGCACAUUAUUGUAAGCUGACUUUCCGCCAGCUUCUGUGUUGGGGCCCCGCCAACUUGCACAUUAUUGUAAGCUGACUUUUCGUCAGCUUCUGUGUUGGGGCCCCGCCAACUUGCACAUUAUUGUAAGCUGACUUUUCGUCAGCUUCUGUGUUGGGGCCCCGCCAACUUGCAUUGUCUGUAGAAAUUGGGAAUCCAAUUUCUCUAUGUUGGGGCCCACACCCCAACUCGCAUUGCCUGUAGAAUUUCUUUUCGAAAUUCUCUGUGUUGGGGCCC
rnacentral:snRNA from 1 species